GUCUACAGUCAUAACACCCUGAAUAUGCCCAAUCUAGUCUGAUCUUGGAAUCCAAGUAGGUUCAGGCCUGGUUAGUACUUGAAUGGGAGAAAAUAUUACAAACUACUUUACACA
rnacentral:rRNA from 1 species